AAGGGGCAUUGAACCACGUGCUACAACAAAGCGCAUAUCCAGUUCCAGUGGUACAGCAUUUAUUACAUUCCCUUGAGGGGGAAAUCUUUGCGAAACUAGACCUCACAC